AAAAACUUCAAUUGAAAUUUUGUUCGCAGUCAAGCGUUCCAAAAGUUGAACAUUACCAAAAAAAUAACGUUAGAGUCAACUUUUCACAGAACUACUUUCAGCCGUGCAGAUAAUACGGAUAUCGAGACAAUUUUGUUUCUUUUUUAAAACAGUUUACCUCGAAGACGUUAAAAUAAUAAGUCGUGCCAUAGAUAAAUUGUAACAACAUUUUCAUGAAACUCGAUUCUCCGAUUCCCGGGCACUCGACACGGUCGCGAUGCGCUUACUGCCGAUCGUAAAAAAAUGAACAAAGGACUUUUAAAUUUUACUCAAAAAUCGUGAGACGCGUGGCGUUGCGACGCAGUAAAUAAGCAGGUAUAAAAGGAUUGGGAAAACGGGCAAAGAGCACAGUUGGAAAACCUUCGUUGACCCGCUAAGACCAUCAACCAUGAAGUCCGCCACGCUUUUGCUGAUUCUGACCGUCGCAAUCGUUGCCGCUGUCUUGCCGGCCGUCAAUGCCAAGCCUCACAUGCGGCGAAGUCCAGGCGCAGACACCGGCACCAAUUCUGGCUCCAACCGGUAUAUCUGACGAUGAUGCGACCGACACUGAUUCAACAUCAACGGGAUUGCUGUCUUCAGCAGUAAAGGAUCUCGAGAAGACGCUUAAGACGAUCCUGACCAAGUAGUGAGAAGAUCUAAGAUCGAAGAACCAAGCCGUGUCUAAUUAUUAUUCCAUAUGCAUAUGCAAAUCAUAUAUAUCUAUAUCUUUAACCAGGGUAGUUAAGAAUUUUACCGAAGGUCUGCGUUACGACAUUCUGUUUCGAUACAGCUUGAGCACGACUUCGAACCUCGAAACCCGAGGUUUUGCAAAAAAUCCGAAUUUACGAUAACGGUAGAAAUAAAAUUACCAAAAAUAUGUAUCCAACCUGCACAGAGAUACGUUGCAUUGAAAAUAAAAUUGUGCUUGUAUGAAAAA
rnacentral:lncRNA from 1 species